rnacentral:rRNA from 1 species
GAUGAACGCUGGCGGCGUGCCUAAUACAUGCAAGUCGAGCGAACGGACGAGAAGCUUGCUUCUCUGAUGUUAGCGGCGGACGGGUGAGUAACACGUGGAUAACCUACCUAUAAGACUGGGAUAACUUCGGGAAACCGGAGCUAAUACCGGAUGAUAUUUUGAACCGCAUGGUUCAACAGUGAAAGACGGUCUUGCUGUCACUUAUAGAUGGAUCCGCGCUGCAUUAGCUAGUUGGUAAGGUAACGGCUUACCAAGGCAACGAUGCAUAGCCGACCUGAGAGGGUGAUCGGCCACACUAGAACUGAGACACGGUCCAGACUCCUACGGGAGGCAGCAGUAGGGAAUCUUCCGCAAUGGGCGAAAGCCUGACGGAGCAACGCCGCGUGAGUGAUGAAGGUCUUCGGAUCGUAAAACUCUGUUAUUAGGGAAGAACAUAUGUGUAAGUAACUGUGCACAUCUUGACGGUACCUAAUCAGAAAGCCACGGCUAACUACGUG